rnacentral:rRNA from 1 species
UACAGAGGUCCCAAGCGUUGUUCGGAUUCACUGGGCGUAAAGGGUGCGUAGGUGGCUUGGUAAGUUUGAUGUGAAAUCUCCGGGCUUAACCCGGAAAUGGCAUUGAAUACUAUUGAGCUGGAGGUUUGGAGGGGGACUGGAAUUCUCGGUGUAGCAGUGAAAUGCGUAGAUAUCGAGAGGAACACCAGUGGCGAAGGCGGCGACCUGGGCCAAUACUGACGCUGAGGUGCGAAAGCGUGGGGAGCAAACAGG